AUAUACUUUGAAUAUGUUGAAAUUAAAAAAAAAAAAAAAUCUGUUCUUAUCAGUUUAAUAUCUGAUACGUCCCCUACCCGGGGACCAUAUAUUAAAUUGAUUUUUAGAACAGGGAGAUGGAAAAGGGGCUUGCCCCGUCCACUCCACGCAUCGACCUGGUAUUGCAGCACCUCCAGGAACGGUGCACCCCCC